GCCAGGCAUGGUGGAGCAUGCCUGUAAUCCCAGAGACUCAGGAGGCUGAGGCAGGAGGAUCGCAAGUUCCAUGCCAGACUCAGAAACUUAGUGAGAUUCUCGGCAAUCUAGUGAGACUCUAUCUCAA
rnacentral:sRNA from 1 species